CAAAGCUAAGAAAAGCCCAAUGACAACAGAUUUUCUACUGGUCAUAGAAAGGGCUUCUCCGUGGCUGGUUCUUCGGGUGCAAGAGAAGUCCGGAAAGGCUAGAUUACCCAGUUCCUUGAAAGCUGGGGUUUAUAAGUGAUAGUGAAUCAUCAGAAGUUUUGUGUGUAUGUGUAGGUAUGUGGGUGCCAUUUUUCCAAAAGCCUGUUAUUUUACAUGAUUCCUACAAAAGGUAGGCAAGGAUCAGUCAUUGGACUAAUGGGAAAAUAGAGAUAAAGUCAUUUUUCCAAGAUACCCUGCAAAUCCUUCACCAUGAUGAUGACAGUAAUGAAAGUAGUAACAGC
rnacentral:lncRNA from 1 species